rnacentral:rRNA from 1 species
UACGUAGGGCGCGAGCGUUGUCCGGAAUUAUUGGGCGUAAAGAGCUCGUAGGCGGCCUGUUGCGUCCGCUGUGAAAGCCCGGGGCUUAACCCCGGGUCGGCAGUGGAUACGGGCAGGCUAGAGGUAGGUAGGGGAGAAUGGAAUUCCCGGUGUAGCGGUGAAAUGCGCAGAUAUCGGGAGGAACACCGGUGGCGAAGGCGGUUCUCUGGGCCUGACCUGACGCUAAGGAGCGAAAGCGUGGGGAGCGAACAGG